rnacentral:rRNA from 1 species
UACGAGGGGGGCGAGCGUUGUUCGGAAUUAUUGGGCGUAAAGGGUGCGUAGGCGGUUUGGUAAGUCUUAUGUGAAAUCUACAGGCUCAACUUGUAGUCUGCAUGAGAAACUGCCGGGCUUGAGUGUGGGAGAGGUGAGUGGAAUUCCUGGUGUAGCGGUGAAAUGCGUAGAUAUCAGGAGGAACACCUGUGGCGAAAGCGGCUCACUGGACCAUGACUGACGCUGAUGCACGAAAGCUAGGGGAGCAAACAGG